GUGGGCUAUAAUUGGAGCUACACCGGCAAAGUUCACUGGAUGGUACCGAAAAGCUAGUCUGGAAGUCUCGGUUAGUCUCGGGGUGACGGGUACACUCACCGUCCACGGCACGGAACCCCCCCCCCCCCACAUGUCGUAAAUGCCGAAACAUCGACCUGCAGACAGUUCCACAGCUGUGGCGAUUUAUCCAUCCAACUUUUUGUCAUUCUGUUGGGCACCAUCGCUGAAUUUUGAGCCCACCUUGCCGGAGUUGGGUGGAUUUGCAAUCGCAGGGGGGGUGAUGUUCGCUUCAGCGAUGCUGGAUUGCACAAAUCGGAAGUGGACCUCAAAUGCGCUGUGCGCGCGUGGGCCUGCAAUUCACUCGCAGCACUUCCUCUAUCUCUUCCACCCAACUUGGUGUGAAGCUAAAGCUUUGGCAAGCAUCUGAAUGAGCCCACGUAAUCUUGAUCACGUCAGUGACUUUGAUUGAUUUGGGAUGCUCGGCGUGCUUUAGUUGAUUUGGAUUUCGGUCUCGAUUACCUUCAAUCAUACUCCGUUCAUUUUCGGGACCACACCUCCGACAUGACCAUUUUAUAGUGAGUGUGGGGAGUGUAGAUAAAUCUGGUGGUGCAACAAGAAAAAUUCAUGGAAGUAUUUAGGGAAUUUGAGAAAUUUAUAUAGGGUUGAUGAGUGGAGAAUGUGUUGUGUGUGGGAUGGAGUAAUAAAUGUCAUCACCAAAGUA